rnacentral:rRNA from 1 species
GACGAACGCUGGCGGCGUGCUUAACACAUGCAAGUCGAACGGAAAGGCCCUGCUUUUGUGGGGUGCUCGAGUGGCGAACGGGUGAGUAACACGUGAGUAACCUGCCCUUGACUUUGGGAUAACUUCAGGAAACUGGGGCUAAUACCGGAUAGGAGCUCCUGCUGCAUGGUGGGGGUUGGAAAGUUUCGGCGGUCGGGGAUGGACUCGCGGCUUAUCAGCUUGUUGGUGGGGUAGUGGCUUACCAAGGCUUUGACGGGUAGCCGGCCUGAGAGGGUGACCGGCCACAUUGGGACUGAGAUACGGCCCAGACUCCUACGGGAGGCAGCAGUGGGGAAUAUUGCACAAUGGGCGGAAGCCUGAUGCAGCAACGCCGCGUGCGGGAUGACGGCCUUCGGGUUGUAAACCGCUUCCGCCUGUGACGAAGCGUGAGUGACGGUAAUGGGUAAAGAAGCACCGGCUAACUACGUG